rnacentral:rRNA from 1 species
GAUGAACGCUGGCGGCGUGCCUAAUACAUGCAAGUCGAGCGAAGCGGGGACGGGUGAGUAACACGUGGAUAACCUCCUAUAAGACUGGGAUAACUUUGGGAACCCUGAGCUAAACCGGAAAAUUAUAGAUGGAUCCUCGCUGCUUUAGCUGGUUGGUAAGGUAACGGCUUACCAAGGCAACGAUGCAUAGCCGACCUGAGAGGGUGAUCGGCCACACUGGAACUGAGACACGGUCCAGACUCCUACGGGAGGCAGCAGUAGGGAAUCUUCUGCAAUGGACGAAAGUCUGACCGAGCAACGCCGCGUGAGUGAAGAAGGUCUUCGGAUCGUAAAACUCUGUUGUUAGAGAAGCGGUAUCUAACCAGAAAGCCACGGCUAACUACGUGCCAGCAGCCGCGGUAAUAC